AGAGGCGUCAAGGCCUCGGCGUACUGCUCAGUAACACGUGGACAACCUGCCCAAAGGUCCGGGACAACCCCGGGGAAACUGGGGAUAAUACCGGAUAAAUCACAAAUACUGGAAGGUUUUGUGGUUGAAACUUCCGGGGCCUUUGGAUGGGUCUGCGGCUGAUUAGGUUGUUGCCGGUGUAACGUACCGUCAAGCCUGUAAUCAGUACGGGUUGUGGGAGCAAGAGCCCGGAGAUGGAUUCUGAGACACGAAUCCAGGCCCUACGGGGCGCAGCAGGCGCGAAAACUCUACAAUGCAGGCAACUGCGAUAGGGGAACAUCGAGUGAUACUCAUCUUGGGUGUCUGUCCUCCCGUCUAAAAAACGGGAGUUAGCAAGGGCCGGGCAAGACCGGUGCCAGCCGCCGCGGUAAUACCGGCGGCUCGAGUGGUGGCCGAUAUUAUUGAGUCUAAAGGGUCCGUAGCCGGCUUUGCAAGUCUUUUGGGAAAUCCAGCGGCUUAACCGUUGGUCGUCCGGGAGAUACUACAUUGCUUGGGUACUGGAGAAGUAGAGGUACUCAGGGGUA
rnacentral:rRNA from 1 species